UUACAGUCAUAUCACGUUGAAACACCAGUUCCCGUACGAUCGCCAAAGUUAAGCAACGUCGAGCCUAGUCUGUAGAUAGAUGAGUGACCGCUUGCGAAUAACAGGUGCUGUAA